AGCUCCUGAGGCCUUGUGAAACAAGGUGGAAUUCUCUCUUCUAUGCUGUUGAGAGGAUUGUACGGAUUGUGAAAGAACAAGGAGAAGCAGCCAUUGCAGCGAUCUGCAGCACGCUGAAGAUUCCGAUGUUCAGUCCUGCCGAGAUUGCUUUUCUC